rnacentral:misc_RNA from 1 species
GGGCUCUCAGAUUCUCUGGGGAAGUUAAUGACCAAGCACUCCAAAUGAAUAUUGUUGACUGUGACAAAUUGCUUUUUUCAGUUUUUUCAUUGUUACAAAAUCUUGGCGCUGAUGAAAGACCAGAGGUUAGGAACUCUGCUGUUCGGACACUAUUUCAAAUUCUUGGAAGCCAUGGGCAAAAGCUAUCAAAGAGUAUGUGGGAGGAUUGUCUAUGGAAUUAUAUUUUCCCUACACUAGAUCGCUCUUCUCACAUGGCUGCAACAUCUUCAAAGACAGAAUGGCAAGGAAAAGAACUAGGGACACGUGGAGGGAAAGCAGUUCAUAUGCUUAUACAUCAUAGUCGUAACACAGCUCAGAAACAAUGGGAUGAGACACUUGUGCUUGUACUUGGGGGCAUAGCUCGAAUUCUACGCUCUUUUUUCCCUUUUUUGAGAAGCUUAGACAAUUUCCAGUCUGGAUGGGAAACUUUGCUUCUCUUUGUAAGAAACAGCAUAUUUAAUGGUAGUAAAGAAGUUGCUCUUGCAGCUGUGAAUUGCUUACAGUCUACCAUAGUUUCUCAUUCCCCAAAGGGAAAUUUGCCUAUGCCUUAUCUUACUUCGGUGCUUGAUGUCUAUGAGCUUGUGCUGCACAAGUCACCAAACUACAACGGGAAUAUGGCAUACAAGUUGAAGCAGGAGAUCUUACACGGUCUUGGUGAAUUGUAUGUUCAAGCACAGGGGAUGUUUGAUAAUGACACGUACCUAAAGCUGCUGUCGGUUGUAGAUUCAGGGAUUAAACAAGCUGAGGUCGACAAUAGUAACUUUGAAGCUGAAUAUGGUCAUGUUUCACCUGUGCAACGUACUGCACUGGAAAUACUUCCGCAAUUGCAUCCUGCAGAGCACCUUUCUGCCAUGUGGUCACCGCUGCUUACCAAAUUAUUGUUGUAUCUUCCCAGCUCUGUUUCCUGUAUGAGAAGCAUUGAAGACGAGAGCGACCACAAGACCAGAACCAAAGAUAAUGCUAAGAUCAGUAAUGGAAUUGCUUCAGCAUCCCAAGGGGAAGAAGAAGCUUCACCUAGGAAUCCUGAGUUAACAACAGUGAUUGUCUCAAAUCAUCUUUUCGUGGAAAAACUUGUCCCUGUUUUAGUGGAUCUCUUCUUGCAGGCUCCACCUGCAGAGAAGUACAAAAUUUUACCUGAUAUUAUACAAUCUUUGGGAAGAUGUAUGAUAACAAGAAGAGACAAUCCUGAUGGCUCACUUUGGAGACUAGCUGUUGAAGGUUUCAGUUGCAUUCUGCUUGAUGAUAUUAGAAAACUGACUGGGAAUGCAGUGCCUGAGUUGACUAUUACCAGACCUGCAAGAAUGCGUAUCUGGAAAGAAGUUGCUGACAUUUUUGAGAUAUUUCUAAUAGGCUACUGUGGUCGUGCACUUUCAGUGAUGGUGGACAGUGCUGAUGAAUGUCUCGAGAUGAAUCUCCUGGAUAUUCUAGGAGACAAG